CUAAAAAUGAGGCAACGACGAUGUGUAGAGCUACUCAAUGAUUACAAAUGCGAGAUUCGCUAUGAUACCGGUAAAGUCAAUGUAGUAGUAGAUGCCCUUAGUCGAAAAGAGUACUCGGGCCACCGAGUAAAUUCUCUAACUAUGAUUAUCCAUUCCAACAAGUCCACACAGAUCAAGGAGGUUCAGCUGGAAGCCUUAAAAACCCGAGAACGUGACAGGUGAAGUCUUAAAAGGAAUGGAAAAAGAAAUUGGAAAUCAAGGGUGACGAAGUUUGUUAUCUCAUGAAUCGGAUCUGGACACCGAAUUUUGGUGGCUACAGAGAUGUUGUCAUGAAUGAAUCCCAUAAAACUCGAUAAUCCAUUCAUCCAGGUUCAGAAACAAUGUAUUUGGAGCUCAAUAAACUCUAUUGGUGGCCUAACAUGAAAUCUGAGAUUGCUACCUAUGUGGGCAAGUGUCUGACUUGUGCCAAUGUCCAGGUAGAAUAUCAAAAGCCCUCAGGUAUACUACAACAACCAGAAAUACCUGAGUGGAAGUGGGAGUGCAUUACAAUGAAUUUCAUAACCAAGUUACCUAGGACAACGAGUGGCCAUGAUACCAUUUGGGCAAUCGUCGACAGAUUAACCAAAUCCACACACUUCCUGCCAAUAAAGAAACUGACAAAAUGGAGAAGUUAACAAGGACGCACAUUAAAGAGAAAAUAAAGAAACUGAAAAAAUGGAGAAGUUAACAAGGACACACAUUAAAGAGAUAUUACGAUUGCAUGGUGUGCCAAUAUCCAUUAUCUCUGACCGAGAUAGUAGAUUUACCCCGCGGUUUUGACAAUCGCUACAAAAGUCCUUGGGAACCAAUCUUGACAUGAGUAUAAUGUACCAUCCUCAGACUGAUGGGUAAAGUGAAAGAACCAUACAAACGCUGGAAGACAUGUUGAGAGCUUAUGUAAUAGAUUUUGGUAAAGCUUGGGAUACCCAUUUACCACUCAUCGAAUUCUCGUACAAUAAUAGGUAUCANUCCAGCACAUAUUUGAUCAAAAAGAACUAAAAAUGAGGCAACGACGAUGUGUAGAGCUACUCAAUGAUUACAAAUGCGAGAUUCGCUAUGAUACCGGUAAAGUCAAUGUAGUAGUAGAUGCCCUUAGUCGAAAAGAGUACUCGGGCCACCGAGUAAAUUCUCUAACUAUGAUUAUCCAUUCCAACAAGUCCACACAGAUCAAGGAGGUUCAGCUGGAAGCCUUAAAAA
rnacentral:lncRNA from 1 species